UUUCCUCCGUGUGCAUUACUUUCGAGCCUUAUUUUCCCUGACAGACCUUAGUGAUUAUUGGCCCAGUCCCUAGUUCUCAGUGUCUGAGUUUAGCCUGCCGAUUUUUUACCCCUGCCUGUUAUUAUUGAUCUCCAAAAAGAUGGAAAAAGGUUCACCUUCAGAUGAUGAAGAAGAAGAUGACUGCAAGGAAGAUGAUGAAGAUCAUUUAAUCAUCACUCCCCUGUUUUCCUCCAAGACUGCCCUGUAUUUGGCUCCAUCCAUCUUGCCAUCAACUCUGACCAGCUUCCCUGUCCCAGCUGAAGAAAAGAAUCCCCAGAGCAUGCCACCCCCAUGUUUCUCUGUGGGGAUGGUGUGUUCAGGGUGUUCAGGCAACAGAGAGGAACAAUAUAAUCAUUGGAUAACACUAAACACUAGUGCAAGUCUCCUUUAAACAUUUUUCACAUUCUUCUUUGAAACCAUUGUCAAAAUAAUCUGUAAAUUACAGUCUUCUGUGUGUGCUUUGAUUAAGAAUAAAAUGAGAUGAUGUGACUAUGAAUGUCAUCUAGUGGUCAAAGUGAGUAACUACAUCAGGACUUUAAUCAGGUUAGAAAAAGAAAAAACUCCCCAACCAUUGCAGAGCUCAUUUAGUGAAUAAUGACUUCAAAUAUUAUUUUUACUCUCAUUCUCGUCUUGGUUAUAUCACAUUUGACAAUAUUCAAUCAUGUUUGGCUUCACUGUUUAAUAAUUAUUUUAUAGGAAGAUGACCAGAACCACUGGGGUGUUAUUUGGGCAUAGUGUUAUUCCUAUCAACAUAACACAGUGCAUAAUUUGCUGAUAAGUCAGUAUCCCCCAUCUAGUGGUCAUAGUCAUCACUGCUCAAAGGGGUAUCAGACUCAUCUCUGGUUGGGAGGUGGACCGUCAGGUGACCUGGUGUGGCCUAACAACCUGGAGUUUAAUGCUCUAAAGACAUUGGAGAUGGUUUAGAUAUUAGGAAGGACACUGCCGCCCAUGCCCCCAUAACCCUCUAUGAAUCCCCAGUUUCCACAGUCGACUCUCUCCACCUCCUGGGGACCUUUAAAUCCCAGGACCUCAAAUGGGAGCUCAAUAUCAGAUCCCUUGUUGAGAUAGCACAACAAAGGAUGAUGAAGAAAUUCAACCUGCAAAUGAAUAUGAUGCUGCACCUCUACACUGCUAUCAUGAAACUCAUCCUAACUUCAUCCAUCACACUCUAGCAUGCUGUGUCCAUGGUGAGGCAGAAACAGGCUGCAGCUUAUUAUCAGCUCUGAAGAGAGGUUGAUUGGCUACAGUACCAUCUUUCCAUGACCAGUGUGCCUCCAAGGCUCUGAGGCAUGCAGGCAAAGUGUGGCCGACCUCUCUCACCCUGGACUUUUUGAGGCCUCCCUCUGGUAGGAGGCCUUGGCCCAUCAGUACCACAACCUCAGGCCACAAGAACAGUUUCUCUUCUGUUAGUCUCAUGAACAUAAUCUGGCCCUCCCCACUCCUUCCACAGACUCUCACUGAUUUCCAGAACCAGCAGACACUGUGUGUGCUUAUCCUUAAGAAAACUGCACUAUAAACUUUUUAUCACUAUACCUCCACAUCUGCAGUUUCUCCUUUUUUUUGCACCUUUCUGCAUACAUCUGUAAAGUUUAUAUUGUAUUUAAUGAUUUAAUUUUGCUUCUAUAUUUUUCUCUACUAAUGUA